AGUCUUCUUCUUCUGUGAGAAUGUUCUCUCUCUGCUUGGUGUCUCGCGCUUGCUCUCUCAAGGUUCAGUAAACACUGAUCGAAGGUGGAAGCAACAAUUGGAUAUAUUUGGUGAUGGAGCUAUUCUUGUAUUCCUUAUGGGCUGGGAUGACAUGCAUUUCAACAUUCUGUAAUUACUAGGGGUAAUUGUGGUUCAAAAAAAUAUACUUUCCUACUCUUCUUUGCAUGACCUUUUUGUCUUUAAUUGUAUUGUUAAACUGUGUACACAUAUCAAUUUUAUGUAGCUAUAGAUGCAUUUUCCAACAGGAUGAAUAUUCUUUUUUCUAAUAUUCAAAUGUUUGAUGGGCACAAUGGAAAUGCCGCUGCCAUUUUUACACGGGAGCAUUUGUUGAAUCAUGUGUUGGGUGCAAUGCCCCGUGGACUUGGUUUGGAGGAAUGGCUUCAAGCUUUGCUAUGUGCGUUGGUUGAUUAAGUUUGUGAAGACUGACAAGGAAUUCCAGAGCAGAGGCAUGGAAAUUGGUCUUUUUUUUUUUUUACAUUAAAGACUAUACUUUGUUUUCCUGUUUACUUGAAGGCCUAACCCAUUUGACUUGAUUUGGCUGGCUUGAACUGGGUCUUGUGGAUUAAAGGAAGAUCUCCAGUUAUUUAGCAGACCAGUCCCGUGAUAAGUGAAUUUGGUUUAUGAUUAUACGGUUGUGUUAUUUAUUGUGUUGAA